rnacentral:rRNA from 1 species
GAUGAACGCUGGCUGUGUGGAUAAGGCAUGCAAGUCGAAUGAGUUUAUACUCAUGGCGAACGAGGUAGUAACACGUAGGAUUACAUGCCCUUGGGUCGAGGAUAAUCUGGAGAAAUCCAGGAUAAUACUCGAUGGUCUCGUAAGAGUAAAGAUUUAUCGCCCAAGGAUUGGCCUGCGGAGUAUCAGCUUGUUGGUAGUGUAAUGGACUACCAAGGCUACGACGCUUAGGGGAGGUGAGAGCCUGACCCCCACCGAUGGAACUGAGACACGGUCCAUACUCCUACGGGAGGCCGCAGUCGAGAAUCUUCCGCAAUGGACGAAAGUCUGACGGAGCGACACAGCGUGGUGGAUGACGCCCUUCGGGGUGUAAACACCUUUUAUGAGUGAAGAAGUUUAUUGACAUUAGCUCAUGAAUAAGGGGCUGCUAAUCACG